GGGGCAAUAGCUCAGUAGUAGAGCUCCCGCUUCGUACGCUGGAAGACCUGGGUUCGAUUCACGGCUGCUUAA
rnacentral:tRNA from 1 species